CAGCGCUCGCAAAGGAUGAACUACUCGAUCCACCCGAAUCUUGCGAGAUAGUGGAGCAGAGCACGGGGCACGUCACGCGAUCGAACUAUAAAAUAUCAUUUAAUACCUCAUUUAAUACCAGGAUAAUUUUCCAGCCUGUUGCGUAAUAGGGCACGAUUCGUUAAUAUGUGUUUUUUUUCCUUUUAAUAAAUAAUUAAUAUAUAUAAGAUUUUGCUCGUGGAAAUUGUGUGAAUUAAAGAAAAGAGGAUCAUUGUCAACGUUUUCACAAUUUCCUCUUGCCGUUCUGGGAGACGUUAAAUUAUUAAUUAACAAAGUCUUAAAUGUUAUAUUGCGCGGUUUGAAAGUUUUUAUAUUAUUCGCAAAGAGACAGGCGUAGGUGUGGUGAGGGAAACCUGCACGAGGGGAGUAGAGACUAUGUGGCCCGCGGGCCACCAGUUCCUCAGCCCUAGCAAAUGUGAUAAUCUCUCCUUCCCAGAGUUCCAAAAGUCUUCGUGUAGAGUGUCCUGCUUGCUUCAUUCUUCAACUCAGUUAUCGAUUGUACUGCAAAUAUAAUAAACAAGUUCAAUAUCAAGAAAAAUAUGCAUAUUAGUAUUUAUUAAGUAAUAUCUCGCAAUACCUUCCAAAUUAAUCAAUGACUCAAUGUAUGCAAAUAAUGAUCUGAUAAAUAGUUGUGCAGCAUAUACUACUUUCACUUCUGGAAUUUGGUUUCAAAAAAUAUGCUUGGAUUCGUUAGCUUGUGUAAUAUUUUGCUGUUUAUGUUCGUUACUUCGCGUAUCUUGUAUGCUGUUUCUAUGAUUUUCCACGAUGCCAAUUUAUUGUUAAUUCCGUUGCUGAUUCUAGUAUCAAUGUCUGUAAAUUAUUUCAUAUCCCUUUUAAUAAAUGUGGUGGAUCGAAAAAGGAAUAAUAUCUUGUUAUUAAAUUUUAAUCGUACCUCCUGUAAGAGACAAAAUGUUAUAAUUAACAUGUUAUGUACUAAGUUAUUAUAAAGAAUAAGGAGACAAUAAAACUACUUACUAUGUUCUA